rnacentral:lncRNA from 1 species
UAAAAUUUCACCAUUCUUCAGAUCAGUCAAACUUCACUUCUCGCAAGCAGCUUCCGCUACAGGGAAAAUAAUAAUGGAGGCAGCGAGAACUAUAAAGGAUGUUUCUCCCCAUGAGUUAGUGAAUGCCUACAUUGCCCAUCUCAAACACUUUGACAAGUUUUGCUUUUAGAAACUUUUAAAAGAAAUAGAGGCUUGCUUGUAUAUUUGAAUGCUUUUUGUUUUUUUAACUAUUUUUAGAGUUUUAGGCCUAGUGUGAAAAAUAGGGUAAGAGGUGAGGGAGAGAGUAAGAGGAGCAGCGACCGGCGAGAGAGAUGGCAUGAGCGUUAUGGGGAGCAAGAGUGAUGGAGAUAGUGAAGAAGCACAAUAGUGGUCACGUUUGGAAGAUAUUUAACCUCACUUCCACUCGCAAAGCCAACGACAAGAAGUGUCUCCAUCGCGUUUGGCAAGUCAUUUUAUCUAUACUUUGCUUCAUUUCAUCUAUCUUUUCUAAUUAUUUCCCCUUUUGGGUAUUCAAUAUUUUCCAUAAAAAUUGGUUCUUUAGAGUAAUUGAAAUCAUGAAUAAAGAAAGAAGAAUUCAGCAGCAAUCACCGGUUGCAGCUGAAAUCCCUCUUUUUCCCCAAGAAAUCAUGGUGGAAAUCUUUUUAAGAUUACUCGUCAAAUUGCUUUGCCAAUUCAGAUGUGUCUCAAAACAAUGGCUUUCUUUUAUAUCAGAUCUCCUUUUAGCCAAAUCCCACCUCAAAAAACCAUUAAGAAUGAUAGUUUUUAUUCUCAGAGGAAAAGAGUAACCAUUUCCUCAAACAAUUUGUACUCUUUUGAAUAUGAAUCAAUCGGUAGAAAUUGUAGUUUUGAUGAGAAUUUGGUAGCUUUAGAGCUUGAUUAUCCUUUGAAAGACGGGCCAAAUGGAUUAGCUGAGUUAUUAGAUUAUGGUAGAGAUGGUUUUAUGUAAUGUGAAAGAAGUGAAGAAGGUAAUGAUGAAUUUCCAGUAAUGGUGAAGUUAAAUUUUCCAUUUUGUGUGAACCAAAAGAAUGGCUGAUAUCUUAGGUUCUUGUAAUGGUUUGGUUUGGUUUGUAUUUCCCCAGAUGAAGAUACCCUUUUUUUUUGUUUAAUCCUUCCAUUACAGAAUCCAAGAGAAUCCUAGACCCACCUUCGAAUUUUGUUCCGAAUGAUUGGAGUGUUUACGGUUUCGGUUUUAAUUUUGUUAAGGAUGAUUAUAAGGUAGUGAAAGUAGGUUGUGGAACUGUUUGUGUUUACUAAUUGAGAACUUAUUCUUGGAGGAUUGUUUGUAGUUUAAAAACAUUAUUUAAAUUUCUCACACUAGGUUGUCUACUUACCAUGAAUUUAUAGUCAUGGUGGCACUUGGAUAAGAGAAUCAUCAUAUAUCGUCUUUUCUUUUUCAAAGAAUUAAAUGGUAACAAUAUACAUUAUUUGAAUGAUAAAAUGUUUGAUUUACAUAUUUAUGUGAAACUCUUUGCAUAUUUUUAGCUACUAUUUGGUGUUCUUUUGUUGUUCUUUUGCUUUUUUGCUCUACAGUUAGCUUUAUGAAAAAUUAGAAAAGUUACAAAAAAAAAAUUGAGGCCUUAAUUAGGUUCUUAUUUUGUUUUUGUGGAACAAAUUGAUAGACCAGUCUGAACAAUGGGGUUGAACCAAUUGAAUCAGAAAUUAUGUUCAUUCAAUAAUAAUAGUUCUUUCUCUUUUUAUUUGUUCUUUAAAUUUCUUAAAUGAAAGUGGAAAUUUUUGCAAACGCACUCUAUGAAAGAUGAAUUUGUUUUGAGGUAAUUUCUUCGCUUUCUAUAUAUAAUUCAUCUAUAUGAAAUCUAAUGUAUAUGUUUUUUUGUGAUUGAUGAAUGAGAAGAUGGUGAUGAGUUUAAUUUUUUUAAUUCAUCUAUAUGAAAUCUUAUGUAUAUGUUGCUUCCUGCUAGUUUAUCUUUUGAACAUGUUUUGGUCUUUUGGUAAUUGGAUUUAGUGAAGAGAAUAGUUAUGUAACAGACCAUUUUCCAGUGGUUUUGGGACCAUAAUUUCGAAGUGUCGGUUUGUAAAUAUUCAUUAUUUAAUAUUUACGAGGUCACUAGUGUCGUACUAAAAUUUGAAUAAGAAAUUUUGAUGUUUAGCUACUUAAUUAAAGAAAAAAGACUAAAUUGUAAAAGUACAAAAAUUUAAUUAGUACUAGUUUAAUUGGUCAAAUGGAUGGAAAAGCAUUAUGGUAGGGAAUUGCAAUUAAGCCAUUUUUCUAGUUAGUGGUUGAUUAUAAGCCAUUUUCAUUGAUUUUAUGUUUAAAUUUUAUAUUAUAAUUAAAUAAAAAGUCAUUUUGAUAAUACAAUAAAGUGAGAAAGGUUCCAUCUUCUUCUUGGUUUAUUGUUAAAAUCGAAAACCCCAUUUUAAACAUUAGAGCUUUGAUUUUGCUAGUCAUGGUGCAUGUAGGUAUUUUCUUGGUUUAUUUAUCAUGAAUUUUAAGUUUUGAGCUAAUUGUAAUGGAAUCUAGCUAUUUGGGGGUUAAAUUUUGAAAUUAUCGAAGCAUAAAAAUUAUGUCAUUGAAAUUUUUGAAGCUUUUUAGUUGUAUUUGGUUUGGGUUGAAGCUUGGUGUUGAUUUUUAUUGAGUUUACAAAGUAAUUUUUAAUAAAUUGUAAAUUUAAGGAGUUAAUCGUAACUAUGUAUAAUUAGCCUGGUUUCUUUAUAUUUCAUAUCAAGUAAGUAUCUAAACAAAUACUAACACACCUAUUACAUGCCAUAUAACCCAAAAGUAAACAUUCAAAAACUACCAAUAAUAUCUGGAUAGUGUGAUUUCUUUGAGUUGAUUAUCUUCGAUGUGUCGUAACUAAUGAUUAUCUUCGAUGUGUCGUAUCUUUACUUAAAGAUGAAGCUUACAAUUUGCGGUCAAUGUUAAUAGCGGUACUACUGAGAGGUAACAUCAAUUGGGAAUUCUUUAAAACAAAUUUUAAAAAUAAGUAUGUUAGCAAAAGAUACCUGAUUCGAAAAAAAAAGAAUUUUUUGAAUUGAAACAAGGUAACAAGUCGAUAGCUGAGUAUGAAAGAGAGUUUGUACAUCUCAACAAGUAUGCUUUUAAAAUCGUGUUGAAUGAGGAAGAAAUGUGCAUUUGUUUUGAAGAUGGAUUAAAUGACGAAAUUAAAAUGUUGAUUGCAGGGAUAGAAAUACAUGAGUUCAUUGUUUUGUCUGAUCGUGAUCAAAAGAUGGAGGAAGUUUAUAAUCUAAAGAGAAAGAGAGAUAAAAAGGCUCAAAAUUUUGGAAAAAAGAAGCUUUUCUAAGUCUUUUUCUACACCACCGUCAAAGAAAUUAAAUGAAGAUUUUAAUCAUGUCACUUCACCAUUUGGGUUCUUGGGUAAAAAUAUAUCAAGGCAACAUGAUUCGAAAUCUCAAAUUAAUUUUAAUAGCCCAUUUUUCAAUGGUGUCAGAAACAGUGAUUUCAGGACACAAUUCUGAUGAGUGAGUACAUAAAAGUCAAGUGGUUUUGAAAAUGAGGUUUUGGGACCUUGUUUUUGUAAAUCAAGCUUGUAAAUGAUUUUAAUAAACAUUUACGGAGUUACUAAAUAGGUAUAUUAAAGUUUUGUCCAAAAAUUUUAACGUUUAUAUAGUUAAUUAAAUGAAAAGGACUAAAUCGUAAUAGUUACUAAAAUUAGUUUUAUAGGUUUAAUUAUGGAAAAUGACUAUAAAAGCAUUAAUUAAAGGUUUUAAAUGGCAAUUAUACCAUAUAAAUUUGUAGUGGACGAUUUGUUCUGGCAUGGUAUGAGAUUUUUGGUCAUUUUAAGUUUAAAAAUGUAAAUUAAAUUAAAUAAAGUAAUAAAAAAAUGAUGAAAACCAUCAUCUUCCACUUACCCUUUUUUUUACCACCGAAACAAGAGAAACAAAAACUUGAGAGGCCAUUGUUGAUAGCUUAAGGUUCGACCAAGUAAGUGUAUUUUUAUCUCGUUUGUUGUAAUUUUUAUAUUGUUGAGAUUAUUACAACUAGGUCUAACUAACCCAGGUGUUUAUUCGUAAAACUAUUAAAUGUUUUGAAAUGUGUCAUUGUUGAAUUUGUGAGAUUCUUGAAGUUUUAUGAUAGUUUUGUAAGUUUGGUAACUAAAUAAGAUUGUUUUGUAAAGUAGUUUUUAGUGAAUUUGAUGUUUAAGGAGUAAAUUGUUAAAGAAGUAAAAUUUCUUGGAAUUAUUUUGAAAUUGAGAAAUGUAUGAGUUAUACAAGGAUUAUAGGAAUUUCGGCUAGCUUGGUUUAAGCUUAAAUGUGUUCAAUUUGAUAGUUUCGGGUUUAAAGACUAAACUGCAUAAAGAGUAAAGUUUAGGGGUAAAAUUUUAAAAAGCUAUUAAAAAGGCUUAAAUACAUAAAUUUGAGUGAUCAUGUAGUUUUAAUUUAUAUAAUUAAAUUAAACUAUACUUUAGAUCAAGGAUCUCAACGAUCAAAGGACGUACGAGGAAAAGGAAAAAUUAUCGAUUAGUCCUUGAUAGUUGAAUCACUUUGAUAGGUAAGUUUCUAUUGAUGUCUUUCGUUAUAAUUUGAAAUAAAAUGGUGAUAAUUAUAUCUAUGUAUAUUUAGUUGACAAUGUAGGAAAGAAUUUGGUCUAUAAGAAAUAGAAAUGAAAUUUUCUGGAAUGAUUUCGAUGGAUCGAGUAAAAGUUUCAUACAUGAGAUUUCUGUCUGAAUAUCUGUUCUAGACCGAGCUUCUGGAUGUGUUGCGAACUCAAAUUUAUAUGUGACUCAGAUUUAGCUUAGACCGGUAAUUCGUUUUUGUUUUACAUGUAUACAUAGCUCUGGCCAAACUAGUUUACCUGUGUUGUCACUGGUUUAGCUCAGACGAGUAACCUGACGCAUUCAUUCUGUAUCUGGUUAGCUCUUAUAAGCAUUAUCUGUUUUUGGACUUAUGUAUUGAAUACUUUACAAAUAUCCAUCGAAAGAAUAAAGGUUAUUUUGAUACAGAACUGUUUCAUUGAAAUAAGCAAAAUAUGAAUUAUGAAUAUCUGUAUAUUCAUUACUUAUUGACCCAGAAUUGUUAAACUAUGUCCUAAUAUGAAAAAAUAUGACAAGGAUAUGUGAAGCAAAUUUUAAUGAUAAAAGUGAUGCAAAAUGAUAAAUUGAAAAGAAAUGGAUUCAUGAUGAAAUUUUAAAUUAAAGUUGGUAUUUUACCAUUUGAAAUUACAUGUGGUUUGGACUAAAUCUCAUAUGGUUGAUGUUUUGAAUGUUAUGCUAGGUGAAAUUGUUUCAAAUUGAUUCUUGUAAUUGUUAAAUGGUUAAGGUAAUCUACUUGUCCAUAUUGUAUGAGUUUACUAAGUAUUUUAUAUAUUUACUUGAGUUAUUGCUUUUCAGUAGAUUUUGAGCUGUUCAAAACGUGUGGAUCGGAUCCACGAGAAGCUCACACCUUUGAUCUCCCGAUUCGGUAGACUUUUGAUGUUUCGAGCUUGGUUAUUUGUGGCUUAUACUUAGGAGUAUUAAAUAUUGAAAUGUAAAGCUUGUGUUUGUGGUUUGGCAUGGUUGAGUUUGAAUGAAUAUAAAUAGUAAAUAAAUGUAUAUGGUAAUUUAGCAUAUAAAUGAUUAUGAUAAAGACAUUGUUAGUAUUAAGUAUUUGUUUAGAUGAUAGCAUGAAAUGGCAAUGGACUUUGGUAUGUUAGUUAAUUUUUUGUAAUAAUGAUAUGUUUGGCUUGAUGAAAUUGUAUAAAUUUUUAGGCUAUAUUAUGAACUUUGCCUAUUGAUAUUCUAGUUAAAGAAUUAAUUCUUGCAUAUGUAUGUUUAGGUAUGAUUAACUUGUCAAGAAUGGUAAAGUUUCCUUAUUGUGUAAUGGUUGAAUUGUUGGUGUCAAUGAGGGCAUAUUAGUUGCUUGUUUGUAUGAUUAGUAAAUUGAUGUUUUGGUUUUGUAGUCUACAUAUUUUGGAGUAGGUUUGAAUGGUGUUAAAUGACACUAUUAAGUCAUUUGGCAUGAAUGGCAUGCAAAUUGCUUAAAACAUGUUAUUUAUGUCGCACACGGACUACCACACGGCCGUGUGUCACAUACGAGUGGUUGACACAGCCGUAUGUGUUACGCGUUUAGGUUAAUUUUAAAUCCACACGGCAUCAGUUAGUUACACGGUUUGGAGACAUGGCAGUGUGUCUCCUUUCACACGACCUGAGCUCUGUCACACAAUUUAGCCACACAGUCAUGUGACCUAUGUUUUCAUUAUUUGCCUAUAUUUUGUAAAUUUUUUGUUUUAAUCAAGAAUCAUUCCUGAUUUGUUUUAAAUGUUACGUAAGUUCAAUUUAGGUCCCGAUAUGAUUGAAUAACACAUAAAUGAUUGUAAUUUAUUAUGAAUUGAUCUUUUUGGUACUGUUUGAAUGGUUGGUAACCCUGUGUUACCUUUGCUAUUAUUUUGUAAAUGUUUCAGAUUGGUUCCGAUUUAGUUUUGAACUUAUUCAAAAGUUUUUGUAAAUCUGACUAAAGCUCGAUUUUUAUUGUAAUGCAUGUUUAACAUGGAAUUUACUUGUAUUUAUUGAUUAUUUGAUAAUAAUGAAUAAGUUGUUUGCAAAUUUUUUGGUUUACUAUUGUAGCAUCCUAUAACUUGGGUCUGGUGACCUGACCGGGUAUAGGGUGUUAUAUUAAAGUUGCUGAUAAUGUGGAAAGUGUUCGUAAUGCCUUAAGACCGGUGUGUGAGCAUUGUGGAAAACCACAUGUUAGAGAAUGCAGGAUCAGAACAAGUGCAUGUUACAAAUGUGGCAUGACAAAUCAUUUUGUGUGGAACUAUCCGAGACUAAUGGGAGAUAAUGAAGACAAGAAUGAAAAGCAGUUGUCUACACCUUAGAAAAGUAUACAUCUUGGUCAGAGUAGUAAUACGAGAGUAAAUUGUAGUGGGACUAAAGAUACAACUAUUAGAUCUUAAGCUAGAGCACUUGUGCGAGCAUACGUUAUCUGAGCCAAAGAAGAAGCUACUGCACCGGAUGUUAUUGCUGGUACAUUCUAUCUCUUUAAUGUUACUAUGUAUGCACUGAUUGACCCUGGGUCAACUCAUUCAUAUAUUUCCACGACAUUAGUAGCAACUAAGAAUUUACCUAUUGAGGCAACUGAGUUUGAUGUUCAAGUUACUAAUCCUCUAGGUUAGAGUGUAUUAGUUAAUUUAAUAUGUCAUAAAGUGUCCACUUAAAAUUUAAGGUUGUGACUUUCCUGCUGAUUUGAUGUUUUUACCUUUUCGUGAAUUUGAUAUUAUUUUGGGAACAGAUGGGUUGGCAUAAAAUGAUGUUGUGGUAAACUGUAGACUGAAAUAGAUUGAUUUGAGAUGUCAGAUGGGUGAAAUGAUUUCAGUUUAGUUAGACAAAUCAAACAGUAUUGCCAGAGUUAUUUCAGUUAUUUUUGCACAAAAAUUGAUUCAUAAAUGUUGUGAGGCAUUUUUGGCCUAAAUCCUUGAUACUCAAGAUCCGGAGUCAAAGUUUAUAGAUGUGUUCUUUAAAGAGUUUCUGGGAUUGCCGUCGGCACAUAAAUUUGAAUUUGUAAUUGAUCUGAUGCUUGAGACUACUCUUAUAUCGGUAGUAGCGUAUCGAAUGAUACCAGUUGAGUUGAAAGAACUUAAAGCACAACUGCAAGAAUUAUUAGAUAGAGGUUUUAUCGAUCGGGUGUAUCUCCCAGGGGUGCACCUGUGUUUUUUGUGAAAAAGAAAGACGGGUCGUUGAGAUUGUGUAUUGAUUACAUGCAAUUGAAUAAUGCCACAAUAAAGAAUAAAUAUCAUUUGCCUUGUAUCGACGAUUUGUUGAUCAGUUGAAAGGUGCAAAAAUGUUCUCGAAAAUAGAUCUCAGGUUGGGAUAUUAUUAGUUGAGAGUUAAAUAUGUCAACAUGUCAAAAAUUGCUUUCCAAUCGUUUGGAUUAACCAAUGCCCAUGUUGUUUUUAUGGAUAUGAUGAAUCGGGUUUUUCAGCCUCAUUUGGAUAGAUUUGUGGUUGUAUUUAUUGAUGAUAUAUUGAUCUAUUCAAAAUCAGCAUUCGAACAUGUUCAGGGUUUAAGAAUUGUUCUACAGAUUUUGCGCGAGAAACACUUGUAUGCGAAAUUUAGUAAAUGUGAAUUCUAGCUUAGAGAAGUUGGAUUUCUUGGCCACGUAAUUUUUGUAUAUGGGAUUUGUGUUUAUCCGAGGAAUUUUUCUGUCAUUGUCAACUGGAAAGUUCAGAAAAUGUUUCUAAGGCACGUAGUUUCCUAGGCUUAGCUGGUUAUUAUUGUUGAUUCAUUAAGAAUUUUUCCAUAAUUGCUUUACCGAUGACCAAGUUGUUACAGAAAAAUGUUGAGUUUAUUUGGUCAAAUAAAUGUUAGCAGAGUUUUGACCAACUGAAAAAUAUGUUGAUGGAAGCUCCUUACUGACUCAAUCUGAAUUUGAGAAAGAGUACGUUGUUUAUAGUGAUACAUCGUUCAAUGGUUUAGGUUACGUACUGAUGGAAGUUGGUAAAGUAAUAGCAUACGCUUCUCGACAGUUAAAGCCAUAUGAGAGAAAUUACCCGACUCACGAUUUAGAAUUGCUCACGAUUGUCUUCGCUUUGAAGAUUUGGCGACAUUAGUUGUGACAUCUCUCACCUUAAAAUUAAUGUGGUGAUAGACGCGUUAAGUCAAAAAUCACUGUUUGCUUUGAGAGCAUUAAAUGCUCAUUGAACUUUGAAUAUUGAUGGUUUUGUUUUAACAUAAUUGAAAGGUAGACCAUUGUUUCUUUAGCGAGUAAGAGAGUUACAAAAUGAUGAUCUGUAGCUGAUAGCUAAACGAGAACAAAUUUGAGUUAUCAGAGUAUAGGAUUUAAGGUUAAUAUUGAUGGAAUGUUGUAUGUUCAUAACAGAUUGUGUGUUCCGAAUAAUUUGGAGUUGAAACGAUACAUUUUAUCUGAGGCUCACAAUAGUAUGUACUUUAUUCAUCUGGGUAGUACUACAAUGUUUGGUGAUUUGAAACAAAUGUAUUGGUGGUCGAGUAUGAAGCGAGAAACUACAAAGUUUGUGGCAAAACGUAUAGUUUGUUAGCAAGUGAAAGCCAAGCAUCAGGCUCUAUCAGGGUUAUUACAGCCUAUUAUGAUUACUGAGCUGAAGUGGGAGAGAGUUACAAUGGAUUUCAUAUCGCGGUUGCCAGUAACACCGAGAAAGAAAGAUUCAAUUUGGGUAAUUGUUGACAGAUUGAAAAAAUCAGGUCAUUUUAUUUUGGUCAAAACUGAUUAUUCACUGGAGAGGUUAAUUGAUUAGUAUGUAUCCAAUAUCAUUAAAUUGCAUGGAGUACUGAUGUUUAUUAUCUCUAAUUGAGACCUGAGAUUCACCUCUAGAUUUUGGGGUAAACUUCAUGAGGUUUGGAACAAUAAACUCAAUUUCAGUACAACAUUUCAUCCACAAACUAGUGAAUAGUUAGAACAGGUAAUACAAGUGCUGGAAGACCUGUUAAAGUGUAGUAUUAAAAUCGCACCAUUUGAAGUUUUAUACGGAUGGAAAUGUACGCGUUAUUCUUGAUUUCAUACAAACUCAUAGCAACUGAAUCCAAGUUAGUUGGAACUGACUUGAUCUGUGAGACUGAAGAUAAAGUACGAGUUACUCUUGAUUUUCUAAAAGUCGCAUCAGAUCAUCAGAAACCGUAUUCGGAUCUGAAAGAAAAUAUAUAGAAUUUGUCGUUGGUAAUGGAGUGUUUCUGAAAGUUUCAUUGUGGAAGAAAGUGCUACGGUUCGGCAGAAAAGGGGAAUUGAGUCCGAGGUUUAUUGGGCCAUAUUAAACUAUUGAAAGAAUCGGUCUUGUAACUUACAGAUUGGCUCUACCUCCUGAACUCGAAAAGAUUCAUAAUGCUUUCUAUGUUUCGAUGUUGAGACGGUAUAGGUCAGAUCCUUCACAUGUGAUUACUCCAAAUGAAAUUGAAUUACAGUUGGAUUUGUCGUAUUCUGAAGAGCCGAUAAGAAUUUUAGCUCGUGAGGUAAAAGAACUUUAAAAAAUAAGUAUCAUUAGUAAAAUUUUUGUGGCAUCAACACGGUAUUAAGGAAGCCAACUAGGGAACAAAAGAAUCAAACAAAUCGCAAUACCCGAACUUAUUCUUAGGUAACAAUUUCAAGGAUGAAAUUUUCUAAGGGAGGAGAGUUGUAACAGCCCGUUUUCCAAUGGUGUCAAAAAUAGUGGUUUCGGGACCACAAUUUCAACGUGUCAAUUCGUAAAUAUUAAUUAUUUAAUAUUUAUGAGGUCAUUAGUGUCAUUAAAAUUUGAAUUAGAAAUUUUGAUGUUUAGCUAAUUAAUUAAAUAAAAAGGACUAAAUCGUAAAAGUGCAAAAAUUGAAUUAAUAUUAGUUUAAUUGGGAAAAUGGAUGGAAAAGCAUUAUGGUAGGGAUUUAAAUGGCAAUUAAGUCAUUUUUCUAGUUAAUGGCUGUAACAGCCUAUUUUUAGUAAAAUCAGAAUGGUGGUUUCAAGACCACAAAUCUAAUUUGAAAAUAUUUAUUUUAUUAUUAUUUUAAUGUCUACAGCAUGUUAGUAUCACCGUAUAAAAAUUUCGUUAAGAAAUUUUAUCGUUUGCAUGCUUAAUUCGAUAAAAAGGACUAAAUUACAGAAGGUGCAAAGUUAGAGUUCUAUAGGUUAAAAGCACUAAAUAGCUAUGAAAAAUAAAUGUUUGAGCACUAGAAUAGGAAAUAGAGCAUUUUUUAUUUUAGUAGACAAUUAUGGACAUUAAACAUGUGUUUUCAAAGGUUAAUUAAAAGGUUAAAUAAGUAAAUAAAUAAAUAAAUAAACUAAGUAAAUAUAAAGUAAAACAAGUUGUCAUCUUCUAAACUAGGUUAGUCCACUGAAUUUUAAACUUAGAAACUCCAUGGGAGGAGCUUAAAAGUUCGGCCAACACAUAUUUGCUUGCAUGUGAGUAUUUUUCAUCCUGUUCUUAAUGAUUUCUAUGUUUUUGAAGUCAUUGUAGCUUAAUCUAGCUAGCCCGGGGAUUCAUUUGUAAAAUUGUUAAAAGUCUAGGGAUUUAUAAUAAAUAUGUAUGUAUUGUUUUUUUUUUUUUAUGUUUGAUGAAAGAAAAUGGUUAGUUGUUGUUAGAUAAACGACUUUUAUUAACUGCUUUUUGAUGAAAUUGUCAUUUUGGAAUUAAAUUGAAAAAUUUGAAAUAUUCAUGGUGUAAUUUAUGAAUAAUGAAAUGUGUGGGCUGCUAUGAGUUUGCAUGAAAUUCGGCUAGGCUUGGGUAGGGAUGAACUUGCAGGAAUUUCAUUUUAUGAGCUUAAGGAAUAAAUUGUAAAGAAGUCAAAACAUUAGGGGCAAAAGGGUAAUUUUGUAAAAAAUGAAUUUGGAUUGAAUUUAAUAGAAUGGUUAUUAAGUUGAUUGAAUUUAUUCAUUUAGAUCAAGAUAGACCUUGUACGACUUUAGAUCAAGGCAAAGAGAAAGCUUCGAAUUAACCGACUCCAUUUCUAUGUUUUAUCGUCGGGGUAAGUUCGUAAGUUUAAAUAGAAUUUUAAAUUAUGUUAUAAAUGCUAUUAUUUUAUAAUAUCAAAUUGUGUCUCGAUAGAAAAAUACAACGGCGUAACGACGAUCAUUGACCAAUGAAAAGGGAUGGCUUCGGCUAUCAAAAUAUGGAUAGGGGUGGCUUUGGCUAUCCUAUUAUGAAAAGGGAUGGUGACGACCAUCAACAAUGAAAAGGGGUAGCUUUGAGCUAAUUGUAAUGGAAACUAGCUAGUUUUGGUGUUAAAUUGUGAAAUUAUCAAAGUAUAGAAAUUAUGCUAUUGAAAUUUUUGAAGCUUUUUAGUUGUAUUUGGUUUGGGUUGAAGCUUGGUGUUUAUUUUUAUUGAGUUUGCGAAGUAAUUUUUAAUAAAUUGCAAAUUUUAGGAUUUAAUCAUAACUAUGUAAAAUUAGCACGGUUUCUGUAUAAAUUUCAAGGGUUUUGUGGCUGGUUUGGAGUAGUUAAAAAUUCGACAUAGUGGGUGUAUAAGGUUUAAUUGUGGAAAUAAUAUUGUUUUAGUUUAAGGACCUAUUUGAAUAAAGUGUAAAAAGUUAGGGAAAAUGUGAAAAUUAGUAAAUAGGAAUAAUUUGUAUUAAAAUUGAAUAUUAUAUGAAAUUGAGGUUAAUAAAUGGAAAUAAACCAUUUUAUAGAUCAAGAACAAGUAGAUAACUGAUGAAAAGGGAAAGUUAUCGAGUAGUCGUUGAACUUUCGUUGUCUCUACAGUCUAGCCUGGUAAGUUCGUACGAUUUAGUUUCGUAUUAAAUUAAUUUCUAUAUUAACUAUGAAUUGAGAUGUUGAAUGCUUUGACAUAAUUGAUUGGGAAUAAGUUUAUGUGAGUUGAGAAAGUAUUUGAUUCGAGCGUUGUUACUCGACAUUGUAUUGAGCCAAUGAAUGUAGGAUAGGAUACAAUUGGCAUGCCAAUAAGCUUUUAAUGCGUGCGAUACGGGUUUGAUUGUGAUGAGAUAAUGAUUAUUGAUGCGUUACUAUUCACUGAAUAUAUCGAAAUCCAGCAUUUGUUGUGAACUAUCGAGUUAUAUUUAUAGUGAUCCAGGUUUGUUAUCGGGGGCGGAUGUAAAGCCUUUGGGCAUAGUGCCCAAGUGUGUUUCGGAGGGAUGUUAGCCUACGGGCUAGGCACUUAGUGGCCAAGUGUGUUCUUAGUUGGUUAAGCUCACUUGAGCGUCCUGGUGUGUCCUUGAUGGUUAACCACGUACCCGAAUCCUCUAUAUCAUUCAUGGAGUAAAUUUUAAGUGGUUAUAUGAUUUUCCUGAUAGAUUAACUUGAGUUAACAUUAAAUGAUCUAGUAUUAGUAAAUAAAUUACUCAUUAAGUGUAUUGAAAUGAAGACUCAUUUGUUUAAUAGUUGUGAACGACAGGAUCAUAGUUUAUAAAGUGUUAAUGUCUGAAUUAUAUAUAUUGCUACGGUAAGUUUGUUGUUUUAACCGUUAAACUUACUAAGCUCUAUUAAAGAUUACUUGUGUUAUUUCUUCUGUUUCUUUGUAGAUUAUGUUUUGUGGAAAUCAGGCGAUCGGAUCAACUCGAAGAAAUCACACUAUCUAUAAUGUGAAGUUGUUUUUACUUUACCUAUAAGUGUGCUUUUUUAUUUUGCAUAAGUAAGUUGCUUGUGAACUUGAUUUUAGCUAGUUGGUAUAAGACUCAAUGAGGUAAAUGAAAUAUAGUAUUAUGGUUGUGAAUGGUUUGGUUGCAAUGGUAGGUUUGGCAUGAGAUUUUAAAAAUAUUUAAGUACUUUGAAUCAAAAUUUAAAUUAGUAUAGAAUGUGAGCAUGAUUUUAAUUAUUGAAUUGUGGAGUCAUUGAGGGCACAUUGGUUAGAUAUUUAAAUGCUUGAAUAGGUAAUGUUAUGUAAUGGACUUGAAAAGAUGAUAUUUUUACCAUAUUAAACUUAUGUAUCGA